rnacentral:rRNA from 1 species
GACGAACGCUGGCGGCGUGCUUAACACAUGCAAGUCGUACGGUAAGGCCCUUUCGGGGGUACACGAGUGGCGAACGGGUGAGUAACACGUGAGUAACCUGCCCACAACUUUGGGAUAACGCUAGGAAACUGGUGCUAAUACUGGAUAUGUGCUCCUGCUGCAUGGUGGGGGUUGGAAAGCUCCGGCGGUUGUGGAUGGACUCGCGGCCUAUCAGCUUGUUGGUGGGGUAGUGGCCUACCAAGGCGGCGACGGGUAGCCGGCCUGAGAGGGUGACCGGCCACAUUGGGACUGGGAUACGGCCCAGACUCCUACGGGAGGCAGCAGUGGGGAAUAUUGCACAAGGGGCGCAAGCCUGAUGCAGCAACGCCGCGUGCGGGAUGACGGCCUUCGGGUUGUAAACCGCUUUCAGCAGGGACGAAGCUUUUUGUGACGGUACCUGCAGAAGAAGCACCGGCUAACUACGUG